UACGUAGGUGGCAAGCGUUGUCCGGAUUUAUUGAGUUUAAAGGGUGCGUAGGCGGCCCUAUAAGUCAGUGGUGAAAUAUCGCAGCUUAACUGUGAGGGUGCCAUUGAUACUGUAGGGCUCGAGUGAAUUUGAAGUAGGCGGAAUUGACGGUGUAGCGGUGAAAUGCUUAGAUAUCGUCAAGAACACCGAUAGUGAAGACAGCUUACUAAGCUUCAACUGACGCUGAGGCACGAAAGUGUGGGGAUCAAACAGG
rnacentral:rRNA from 1 species